rnacentral:misc_RNA from 1 species
GAUGAAGAACGUAGCGAAAUGCGAUAAGUAGUGUGAAUUGCAGAAUUCAGUGAAUCAUCGAAUCUUUGAACGCACAUUGCGCCCCUUGGUAUUCCAUGGGGCAUGCCUGUUCGAGCGUCAUUUGUACCUUCAAGCUUUGCUUGGUGUUGGGUGUUUGUCUCGCCUUUGCGUGUAGACUCGCCUUAAAAUAAUUGGCAGCCGGCGUAUUGAUUUCGGAGCGCAGUACAUCUCGCGCUUUGCACUCAUAACGUCAGCGUCCAAAAGUACAUUUUACACUCUUGACCUCGGAUCAGGUAGGGAUACCCGCUGAACUUAAGCAUAUCAAUAAGCGGAGGA